rnacentral:rRNA from 1 species
UACGGAGGGGGCUAGCGUUGUUCGGAAUUACUGGGCGUAAAGCGCACGUAGGCGGCUUUGCAAGUUAGAGGUGAAAGCCCGGGGCUCAACUCCGGAAUUUGCCUUUAAAACUGCAUCGCUAGAAUUGUGGAGAGGUAAGUGGAAUUCCGAGUGUAGAGGUGAAAUUCGUAGAUAUUCGGAAGAACACCAGUGGCGAAGGCGACUUACUGGACACAUAUUGACGCUGAGGUGCGAAAGCGUGGGGAGCAAACAGG